rnacentral:rRNA from 1 species
UACGUAGGGUGCAAGCGUUGUCCGGAAUUAUUGGGCGUAAAGAGCUCGUAGGCGGCUCGUCGCGUCGGCUGUGAAAACCUGGGGGCUCAACCCCGGGCCUGCAGCCGAUACGGGCGAGCUAGAAUCGGUUGAGGGGAGGACUGGAAUUCCUGGUUGUCAGCGGGUGAAAAUGCGGCAGAUAUCAGGAGGAACACCGGUGGCGAAGGCGGGUCUCUGGGCCGAUAUUGACGCUGAGGAGCGAAAGCGUGGGGAGCGAACAGG